UCGAACCAAUAUGUAUAUGGUUCGGCUAAAUCCCACCACCACUAAUGUCUCUCAGUUUUAAUCUAAUCCGACUAUUACUUUUCCUAAAAGAUUUAUUAAUGAGCUUAAUAUCUCUAACACCUAGCUCCCCAUCAAUCUUAGAUUUGCAAAUCCGACAUUUGAUAUAAUUCACCUUUGGACGAGUUGAUUGAGACAAUUGUUUUAAUGGCGAAAUUGGAACCAAUUGAAGAUCGGAGGAAGAGGAGGAAUCACGGAUCGACAAAAGUCUUCUUAUUUAUUGAUUAUCUAUUUCUUCUCAUAUUCUUCGCAUUCCUCUGUUUUUUUAUAUUUAAGAUAUUUGGGAUUUGAUCUCAAAUCCAGAGAUGGCGAAAACAGGACGGACCUUGCUGUUCUUCUCAUCUGCUAACAAGGUGGUGAUAGUGAGUUUGAUAUUUUAUCAGAUGAACUGGAUAUGUAUUCGUUGUCAGAGUCUUUGCAGGUCGAGCCAGAAGAAAGUAGUAUAUACCCAAGGUUAAAUAAGUUGGAUCUAGAUAUCAUUGAGGCAAGAAACAGUAGUAGCAGCAGCAGUGUUCAAUCACCUAACUUUAUCAUUCGGCGUUUUCUUCCAGCAGCAAAUGCACUAGCAUUUCCAUAUGCUAACUCUACUAGUAAUCCUGAAAGUAAACAUAUAGUUAUUCCAGAACCAACCCAAAAACAAACAUUACGAAUACGUUCCCGAUCUGUUGGUAGUGAGCGUUCUGCAGAACGGGAUAAAGCUUGUGGGAUGGAACAUUUCUUCCCAUGGCGUAAGAAACUGACACCUUGUGGAUUAAAAAGUCCAGUUCGUGGAAGUUUUGUUUCAAAUGGGAAGCUUAAAUGCAAUAGCAGAAGAAGUAAGGGGUGUUCUUCCCAGAAUGUGUUUAGUUUGAAGGAUUAGAAGUAUUAUAGAUUUGGAUCAUAAACCUAUUUUGGUUUAUUUAUGAAAAUUUUAAACUUUUGUAUAUGAAACAAAGAAUGUACUUUUGUUGUUUAUGAUCAAA